GACGAACGCUGGCGGCGUGCCUAACACAUGCAAGUCGAGCGGAGCCGUCCGACAGAUCCCUUCGGGGUGACGUCGGGGAAGCUUAGCGGCGGACGGGUGAGUAACGCGUGAGUAACCUGCCCAUAAGAGGGGGAUAACACAGAGAAAUCUGUGCUAAUACCGCAUAUUGAAUAUUUACCGCAUGGUUGAUAUUUGAAAGAUUUAUCGCUUAUGGAUGGACUCGCGUCUGAUUAGCUAGUUGGUGAGGUAAUGGCUCACCAAGGCGACGAUCAGUAGCCGAACUGAGAGGUUGAUCGGCCACAUUGGGACUGAGACACGGCCCAGACUCCUACGGGAGGCAGCAGUGGGGGAUAUUGCGCAAUGGGGGAAAGUCUGAUGGAGCAACGCCGCGUGAGCGAUGAAGGCCUUCGGUCGUAAAGACUCUGUUGUUAGGGUAAGG
rnacentral:rRNA from 1 species